GAUGAAGAACGUAGCGAAAUGCGAUACGUAAUGUGAAUUGCAAAUUCAGUGAAUCAUCGAGUCUUUGAACGCACAUUGCGCCCCCUGGUAUUCCGGGGGGCAUGCCUGUCCGAGCGUCAUUGCUGCCCUCAAGCACGGCUUGUGUGUUGGGCCCCGUCCUCCGAUCCCGGGGGACGGGCCCGAAAGGCAGCGGCGGCCCCGCGUCCGGUCCUCGAGCGUAUGGGGCUUUGUCACCCGCUCUGUAGGCCCGGCCGGCGCUUGCCGAUCAACCCACAUUUUUAUCCAGGUUGACCUCGGAUCAGGUAGGGAUACCCGCUGAACUUAAGCAUAUCAAUAAGCGGAGGA
rnacentral:misc_RNA from 1 species